UACGAAGGGGGCUAGCGUUGCUCGGAAUGACUGGGCGUAAAGGGCGCGUAGGCGGCUUGUAUAGUCGGAUGUGAAAUUCCUGGGCUUAACCUGGGGGCUGCAUACGAGACGUAUGGGCUUGAGUGCGGAAGAGGGUCGUGGAAUUCCCAGUGUAGAGGUGAAAUUCGUAGAUAUCGGGAGGAACACCGGUGGCGAAGGCGGCGACCUGGGUAGAUACUGACGCUGAGGAGCGAAAGCGUGGGGAGCGAACAGG
rnacentral:rRNA from 1 species